UACGGAGAGUGCAAACGUUGUUCGGAUUCACUGGGCGUAAAGGGCACGUAGGCGGCUCGGCAAAUCGGUCGUGGAAUCCCGACGCUUAACGUUGGAACGGCGAUCGAAAAUACCGGGCUCGAGGGCGUGAGGGGUCACUGGAACUCCUGGUGAAGCGGUGAAAUGCGUAGAUAUCAGGAGGAACGCCGGAGGCGAAAGCGGGAUCCUGGGCCAAUUCUGACGCUGAGUGAGCGAAAGCCAGGGGAGCAAACGGG
rnacentral:rRNA from 1 species